rnacentral:rRNA from 1 species
AUUGAACGCUGGCGGCAGGCCUAACACAUGCAAGUCGAGCGGAUGAAGAGAGCUUGCUCUCUGAUUUAGCGGCGGACGGGUGAGUAAUGCCUAGGAAUCUGCCUGGUAGUGGGGGAUAACGUUCCGAAGGGAACGCUAAUACCGCAUACGUCCUACGGGAGAAAGCAGGGGACCUUCGGGCCUUGCGCUAUCAGAUGAGCCUAGGUCGGAUUAGCUAGUUGGUGAGGUAAUGGCUCACCAAGGCGACGAUCCGUAACUGGUCUGAGAGGAUGAUCAGUCACACUGGAACUGAGACACGGUCCAGACUCCUACGGGAGGCAGCAGUGGGGAAUAUUGGACAAUGGGCGAAAGCCUGAUCCAGCCAUGCCGCGUGUGUGAAGAAGGUCUUCGGAUUGUAAAGCACUUUAAGUUGGGAGGAAGGGCAGUAAGCUAAUACCUUGCUGUUUUGACGUUACCGACAGAAUAAGCACCGGCUAACUUCGUGCCAGCAGCCGCCGUAACAC